UACGAAGGGGGCGAGCGUUGUUCGGAAUCACUGGGCGUAAAGCGUGCGUAGGCGGUUAUGAAAGUUAGGAGUGAAAGCCCCAGGCUCAACUUGGGAAUUGCUCUUAAUACUCCAUGACUAGAAUUCGGGAGAGGAUAGCGGAAUUGUCAGUGUAGCAGUGAAAUGCGUAGAUAUUGACAGGAACACCGGUGGCGUAAGCGGCUAUCUGGACCGACAUUGACGCUGAGGCACGAAAGCGUGGGGAUCAAACAGG
rnacentral:rRNA from 1 species